CUUCUGCAAUGAUGAGUUCAUGAAACAAUUCACAUGUCAGACUUCAGAGAUUCCAGCAAUGGAAUCAAUGAGAAGAGAAAUUCAUCUUUUCUGAGCAGAAG